GUCGAGCGAUGAAACUUUAACAGAACCCUUCGGGGCGAAGAUAAAGUGGAUUAGCGGCGGACGGGUGAGUAACACGUGAGUAACCUGCCUUAGACAUUGGGAUAGCCUCGGGAAACCGGGAUUAAUACCAAAUAAAAUCAUAAUGACACAUGUCAUAACGAUCAAAACUCCGGUGGUCUAAGAUGGACUCGCGUCCCAUUAGCUAGUUGGUAGAGUAAAAGCCUACCAAGGCGACGAUGGGUAGCCGGCCUGAGAGGGUGAACGGCCACAUUGGAACUGAGAAACGGUCCAAACUCCUACGGGAGGCAGCAGUGGGGAAUAUUGCACAAUGGAGGGAACUCUGAUGCAGCGACGCCGCGUGAACGAAGAAGGCUUUCGAGUCGUAAAGUUCUUUUAUAUGGGAAGAUAAUGACGGUACCAUAAGAAAAAGCCCCGGCUAACUACGUGCCAGCAGCCGCGGUAAUACGUAGGGGGCUAGCGUUGUCCGGAAUCACUGGGCGUAAAGGGUUCGCAGGCGGAAAUGCAAGUCAGAUGUAAAAGGCAGUAGCUUAACUACUGUAAGCAUUUGAAACUGCAUAUCUUGAGAAGAGUAGAGGUAAGUGGAAUUUUUAGUGUAGCGGUGAAAUGCGUAGAUAUUAAAAAGAAUACCGGUGGCGAAGGCGACUUACUGGGC
rnacentral:rRNA from 2 species